rnacentral:tRNA from 1 species
GGGCAAGUGGCGGAAUUGGUAUACGCGUAGGUCUCAAAAACCUAUGAGCGUAAGCUCUUGAGGGUUCGAGUCCCUCCUUGCCCA